ensembl:snoRNA
GACCCCCUGGGAUUGUGUCUGGGGAGUGGCUGGUAUUCUACCAGCUUCAGACACAGGAGGGAAAGCCAGCCUGGCAGAUGUACCCAUUCCAUUCCCAGUUUGCCUGGUAGCUGGCGAUCAGAAGACACUCGGCAAUGAGC